rnacentral:lncRNA from 1 species
CAUCCUGAUUCUGACUCAGCCCCGCUUUCCUGGUUUAGUAGCUUGUCUCAAGUGCCAAGUUCUCUGGCCCAGAGAAGCAAAGCCCGGAUCCAUCCUGACUUUGACUCAGCCCCGCUUUCCUCUCUCUCCCCAGGCCCAGGGCGCUCCCCGCGGCGACCCAUUGCUCCGUCUGCCACCGGCCUCCCCCUGUGCUUUGCUCUCAUCUUCCGGAGGAUGUUGCCUCGGUGGUCCGGGAAGCCUCCUGUGAUCCGGGUGCGCCACCCUAUAACGGUGGGACGUGUGACCCGCGAUGCCAUCAAGAGGAAGGAGGUGGCCGAGGGUCCCCGCUAGACACAGACGCAUCCUCCGAGAAGCCCUUCCGGUGCCACGUCUGCCGCUCGGCCUUCCGCUGCAAGGGGCACCUGGCCGGCCACGGGUCUCUUCAUGCAGGUGGGUUGGAACGUGAAUGCACACCCACAAGCGAGCGAGCUAGCGCACAGGUGUCCCUGCUUCUCAAUUCAGUUUGGGUUCGGAAGGAGAGAGGGACACCUCGGGCCGAAUCCUGCUCUUCGGGCGGCUUCUGGCUAAGGAGGUGGUUCUUGAGGCCCACGAAAGGUUCAAAGAGGGACGCAGCGGAUAUUGUAGGCUGGCCCUACAGGAGUCAUAAAGAUGAUGGGGGUAUGAUGAUGAUUAUGAUGAUGAAGAACAGGAGCAAAAGGGGGUGACCCCUCUUCCUGCAAGCUGUGGGGGGGGAUAGGUGUUGCUGGCGCCCCCCCCCCGCCCUCGGCAUCUGCAUUUGUUUGCACACUCCUGUCGCCCUUCUAGGGGAAAAGCCCUACCGCUGUGGGAUUUGCGGCGCCCAGUUUAACCGGCCGGCCAACCUCAAGACCCACUUGCGCAUCCACUCUGGGGAGAAGCCCUACAAGUGUGAGACGUGCGGCUCCCGGUUUGUGCAGGUAAAAAAAAAUGGGGUGGAAGGAACCAAGUCCCUGAGCAGCCUGUAGUGAGGUGGGAAAGAAAGGGGGGGGGAGUGAAAGUGUUUGCUUUCUAGAAAUAGGAUCCAUUCUAGAAAUAGGAUCCAUUUCCAGAUGACCAGGGUUCUAAAUUUUGGAUGUGUAGCUGAACAUAUUUACUUUGCCCAGGAAGCCAUUGCUAGUCUGACCCUCUACACUUCCUUCCUUCCUUGCCUCCAGGUCGCCCACCUGCGAGCGCACGUCCUGAUCCACACGGGAGAGAAGCCGUACCCCUGCGGGACGUGCGGGACGCGAUUCCGGCAUCUCCAGACCCUCAAAAGCCACAUCCGGAUUCACACGGGAGAGAAGCCUUAUCACGUGAGCAGGGAUCUGUGUUGGGGAGAUUUUUAAUGGAUCGAAGAAGGGUGGGGGCCGGAGAGUUAAGACCCUGAGCUUCUGGGGCGGGGGUGUCUGUGAAAGGGAUCUUCAUUCCAGGUGCGCUCCCCCCAUAGGCUGAAGACCUUUGUUACCCCUGAAUACGCAGGACAAUUUCACCUGGGCAGGGCAACCUAAUGGUUAUAAGCCACUCGAAAGGCUGGUUCCGGAGUCCUUGGAAAAGGGCAGGCCAGCUGAUGGAGUGCUAGCAGGAUGAUAGCGAGGCCCAGGGGAGUCCUGAGUUCAAAUCCAGAUCUCUUAGUGUGGCACUCUAAACAUUACGGCACAAUGCCUUCCCGUCAUGAUGGGGAAGCCGGACUGUGCCACACGGGGAUGC